GUCUGGAUUAUGGCUCAGAUUGAACGCUGGCGGGAUGCUUUACACAUGCAAGUCGAACGGCAGCACGGACUUCGGUCUGGUGGCGAGUGGCGAACGGGUGAGUGGGGUCAUCGAACGUGCCUAGUAGCGGGGGAUAACUACGCGAAAGGUAGCUAAUACCGCACAUGCCCUUCGUGGAAAGCGGGGACCUUCGGGCCUCGGCACUAAUAGAGCGGCCGAUAUCGGAUUAGCUAGUUGGUGGGGUAAUUACCAAUUACAAGGAUGAUCCGUAGCUGGUUUGAGAGGACGACCAGCCACACUGGGACCGGAGACACGCCCAGACUCCUACGGAGGCAGCAGUGGGGGGAAUUUUGGACAACGGGGAAACCCCGAUCCAGCCAUCCCGCGUGUGCGAUGAAGGCCUCGGGUUGUAAAGCACUUUUGGCAGGAAAGAAACGGCACGGGAUAAUACCCCGUGCAACUGACGGUACCUGCAGAAUAAGCACCGGCUAACUACGUGCCAGUUAAGUCGCGUGUAAUACGUAGGUGCAAGCGUUAAUCGGAAUUACUGGGCGUAAAAGCGUGCGCAGGCGGUUCGGAAAGAAAGAUGUGAAAUCCCAGAGCUUAACUUUGGAACUGCAUUUUUAACUACUGAGCUAGAGGGCCAGAGGGAGUGAAUUCCCGCGUAGCAGUGAAAUGCGUAGAUAUGCGGAGGAACACCGAUGGCGAAGGCAGCCUCCUGGGGAUAACACUGACGCUCAUGCACGAAAGCGUGGGGAGCAAACAGGAUUAGAUACCCUGGUAGUCCACGCCCUAAACGAUGUCAAUCUUAGUUGUUGGGGCUUCCUUUCGGGCCUGGUAGCGCAGCUAACGCGUGAAGUUGACCGCCCGGGGAGUACGGUCGCAAGAUUAAAACUCAAAGGAAUUGACGGGGACCCGCACAAGCGGUGGAUGUGGGGAUUACCCGAUGCAACGCGAAAAACCUACCUACCCUUGACAUGUUCCAACUGAAGAGAUUUGGGGAGUGUCGCAAGAGAACCGGAACACAGGUGUUGUAUGGCUGUCGUCAGCUCGUGUCAGGAGAUGUUGGGUUAAGUCCUGCAACGAGCGCAACCCUUUGCUUACAUAGCAUGAAAGGGCACUCUAAUGAGACUGCCGGUGACAAACCGAGGAAGGUGGAUGACGUCAAGUCCUCAUGGCCCCCCCGCGGGGUAGGGCUUCACACGUCAUACAAUGGUCGGGACAGAGGGUCGCCAACCUGCGAGGGGGAGCCAAUCCCAGAAACUCCGAUCGUAGUCCGGAUCGCAGUCUGCAA
rnacentral:rRNA from 1 species